AUACUUACCUCGAUGGGGUCAAUGGAUGAUCAUAAAGCCUCAUAACCUGAGAAAAUGACCUCGGAUGGAUUUUUGGAAGGGGUGUUAUCCUAAAAUCAACUCAAAUAAUGAAAUCUACAUCAUGUUUUCUUGCAGUUGUCAUGCGAACGACGAU